UACGUAGGGUGCAAGCGUUGUCCGGAAUUAUUGGGCGUAAAGGGCUCGUAGGCGGUUUGUCGCGUCGGGAGUGAAAACCUACAGCUUAACUGUGGGCUUGCUUUCGAUACGGGCAGACUUGAGGCAUGCAGGGGAGAACGGAAUUCCUGGUGUGAGCGGUGAAAUGCGCAGAUAUCAGGAGGAACACCGGUGGCGAAGGCGGUUCUCUGGGCAUGUUCUGACGCUGGAGGAGCG
rnacentral:rRNA from 1 species